GACGAACGCUGGCGGCGUGCUUAACACAUGCAAGUCGAACGGAAAGGCCCUGCUUUUGUGGGGUGCUCGAGUGGCGAACGGGUGAGUAACACGUGAGUAACCUGCCCUUGACUUUGGGAUAACUUCAGGAAACUGGGGCUAAUACCGGAUAGGAGCUCCUGCUGCAUGGUGGGGGUUGGAAAGUUUCGGCGGUUGGGGAUGGACUCGCAGCUUAUCCGCUUGUUGGUGGGGUAGUGGCUUACCAAGGCUUUGACGGGUAGCCGGCCUGAGAGGGUGACCGGCCACAUUGGGACUGAGAUACGGCCCAGACUCCUACGGGAGGCAGCAGGGGGGAAUAUUGCACAAUGGGCGGAAGCCUGAUGCAGCAACGCCGCGUGCGGGAUGACGGCCUUCGGGUUGUAAACCGCUUUCGCCUGUGACGAAGCGUGAGUGACGGUAAUGGGUAAAGAAGCACCGGCUAACUACGUG
rnacentral:rRNA from 1 species